AUAUGACUUCGGAACGCAUGUUUUGUUGUUGAAAGAUUUAUCGGUGGGGGAUGGACUCGCGGCCUAUCAGCUUGUUGGUGAGGUAAUGGCUCACCAAGGCGACGAGGGGUAGCCGGCCUGAGAGGGUGACCGGCCACACUGGGACUGAGACACGGCCCAGACUCCUACGGGAGGCAGCAGUGGGGAAUAUUGCACAAUGGGCGAAAGCCUGAUGCAGCGACGCCGCGUGAGGGAUGACGGCCUUCGGGUUGUAAACCUCUUUCAGUAGGGAAGAAGCGAGAGUGACGGUACCUGCAGAAGAAGCGCCGGCUAACUACGUGCCAGCAGCCGCGGUAAUACGUAGGGCGCAAGCGUUAUCCGGAUUUAUUGGGCGUAAAGAGCUCGUAGGCGGUUUGUCGCGUCUGCCGUGAAAGUCCGAGGCUCAACCUCGGAUCUGCGGUGGGUACGGGCAGACUAGAGUGAUGUAGGGGAGACUGGAAUUCCUGGUGUAGCGGUGAAAUGCGCAGAUAUCAGGAGGAACACCGAUGGCGAAGGCAGGUCUCUGGGCAUUUACUGACGCGGAGGAGCGAAAGCAUGGGGAGCGAACAGGAUUAGAUACCCUGGUAGCCCAUGCCGUAUAACGUUGGGCACUAGGUGUGGGGGACAUUCCACGUUUUCCGCGCCGUAGAAUAACCCAUUAAGUGCCCCGCCUGGGGAGUAGCGCCCGCAAGGCUAAAACUCAAAGGAAUUGACGGGGGCCCGCACAAGGGGCGAGCCUCGGAUUAAUUGGAGCAACGGGAAGACCUUACCAAGGCUUGACAUUGCCAGACCGGAUCAGAGAUGUCUUUCCCUUCGGGGCUGGUUCACAGGUGGUGCAUGGUGUCGUCAGCUCGUGUCGUGAGAUGUUGGGUUAAGUCCCGCAACGAGCGCAACCCUCGUUCCAUGUUGCCAGCACGUAGUGGUGGGGACUCAUGGGAGACUGCCGGGGUCAACUCGGAGGAAGGUGGGGAUGACGUCAAAUCAUCAUGCCCCUUAUGUCUUGGGCUUCACGCAUGCUACAAUGGCCGGUACAAUGGGUUGCGAUACUGUGAGGUGGAGCUAAUCCCUAAAAGCCGGUCUCAGUUCGGAUUGGGGUCUGCAACUCGACCCCAUGAAGUCGGAGUCGCUAGUAAUCGCAGAUCAGCAACGCUGCGGUGAAUACGUUCCCGGGCCUUGUACACACCGCCCGUCAAGUCACGAAAGUUGGUAACACCCGAAGCCGAUGGCCUAACCACCUUGUGUGGGGGGAGUCGUCGAAGGUGGACUGCGAUGG
rnacentral:rRNA from 1 species